UACGGGGGGGCAAGCGUUGUUCGGAAUUACUGGGCGUAAAGGGCUCGUAGGUGGCCAACUAAGUCAUGCGUGAAAUCCCCGGGCUCAACCCGGGAACUGCGUCCGAUACUGGCAGGCUUGAAUCCGGGAGAGGGAUGUGGAAUUCCAGGUGUAGCGGUGAAAUGCGUAGAUAUCGAGAGGAACACCUGCGGCGAAGGCGGGUUGCUGGGCCGACACUGACGCUGAGGCGCGAAAGCCAGGGGAGCAAACGGG
rnacentral:rRNA from 1 species